rnacentral:rRNA from 1 species
AUUGAACGCUGGCGGCAUGCUUUACACAUGCAAGUCGAACGGUAACAGGCCGCAAGGUGCUGACGAGUGGCGAACGGGUGAGUAAUGCAUCGGAACGUGCCCAGUCGUGGGGGAUAACGCAGCGAAAGCUGCGCUAAUACCGCAUACGAUCUAUGGAUGAAAGCGGGGGACCGUAAGGCCUCGCGCGAUUGGAGCGGCCGAUGUCAGAUUAGGUAGUUGGUGGGGUAAAGGCUCACCAAGCCAACGAUCUGUAGCUGGUCUGAGAGGACGACCAGCCACACUGGGACUGAGACACGGCCCAGACUCCUACGGGAGGCAGCAGUGGGGAAUUUUGGACAAUGGGCGCAAGCCUGAUCCAGCAAUGCCGCGUGCAGGAAGAAGGCCUUCGGGUUGUAAACUGCUUUUGUACGGAACGAAACGGUCCCGGUUAAUACCUGGGGCUAAUGACGGUACCGUAAGAAUAAGCACCGGCUAACUCCGUGCCAGCCGCCGCGGUAACAC